AGACUGGAGGUUUAUUAUUACUCAAAUCAAUCUCCCCCAGCAGUCAGAGUUUUUAAAGACAAUUUGGUGGAUGGGGAGGGGCAGUGAGUCAGAGAGUGUUGAUUGGUUGGGUUGAAGAUGAAAUUACGGGGCAGCACUGUUUUCUUGCUCUGAGUCAGUUCCUGGGUGAGGUGGGGGUCACAAGAUCAGAUGGGCCAGUUUAUCUAUCUGAGUGGGUGCCAUCUGAUCCAUCAAGUGGAGGGUCUGCAAAACAACUCAAGCACUGAUCUUAGGAGCAAUUCAGGGAGGGUCAGAAUCUUGUGGCCUCUAGCUGUAUGACUCCUAAACCAUAAUUUCUAAUCUUGUGGCUAAUGUUAGUAGUCUAGAUCCCAGGCAAGAAGGAGGUUUGCUUUGGGAAAGGGCCUUUAUUGUCUUUAUUUUAAACUGUAAGUUAUAAGCUAAGUUCCUCCCAAAGUUAGUUCAGCCUACACCCGGGAAUGAACAAGGGCAGCUUGGAGGUUAGAGACAAGAUGGAGUUGGUUAAGUUGGAUCUCUUUCACUGUUUUAGUCAUAAUUUUGCAAGGGCGGUUUCAUUGCUACCUGAAUAACUUUCUGAGCUUCUCCAUCUAUCUCCUGGAAGCCUUUCUCCUUCAUCAAUUUCUUCAGCCCUGCCAGACAUGCAGCAGCUUCUUCAUCAGCAGAUGUGGUCUCUCCAGUUAUUUUUAUGGUUUUCAGUCCAAACCUAUUCCUGAAUCUGUGUAGCCAUCCCUUACUUGCAGUAAAUGGCUUGAGGUGUGCUUAAUUUCAGGUGAUCCCUUUCUGAAGUCUUCCUAUAGGCUCAACACUUUCUGGCCAAACACUGCUCAGAUGGAACACGUUUUCUGUUCAUGUCUCCCACCACAAAUGUAAUCCCUUUCCAAUCUUUUGCUGUUGAACCUCAAACUACAAUAGUUACAGCCACAGUGCAUGAUAGGUGCUUAGUUAACUAGCACGAAUCUUUUUCCUUCACAAUUUCAUGGAUACAUAAUUUGUUAUCAUAGAUCUUGGCAACCUUAGCAUAUGAUUAUUUUUCUUUCCUUAUUAAGUCCAGAACUUUCACCUUGUCACUUAAAGGAAGCACUUUACAACUUCUCCUUGGCAUAACCAGAUUAUCAGCACCACAAUUCCUGUGCUUUGCAGCCAUUAUUGAGUAAAAUAAGGGUCACUUGAACAUAAGCAGGUGUCUUUCUCUCAUUAUCCACUACAGGUGGAUCUGUUAACAAGGCAGCUACUGCGUGAGUAAUGAGUGAGUAAUGGGUGGAUACUGUACACUUGCGGGGCUACCCGGGACAAAGAGAUGAUUCGCGCCCAGGGUGGGACAGAAUGGAUGGCCAGAGAUUUAAUAGGGCUACUCAGAACGCAGGCGGUUUGAAACUUAAAAAUUGUUUACUUCUGGAGUUUUCAAUUUACUAUUUCUGAACCAAGGUUGACCACAGGUUACUGAAACUGCAGAGAGCAUGGACGGGGGAGACUACUGCAUUAAAACUAAAAUUUCCAAAUAUUAGUUUCAGCUGAAUGAAGUGUGAUUCGGACCUUCCCUCUCAAGGAUUAAGCGAAAUCACCAGAACCUCGCAGCUUCAGCAUUAUCUCCGCACGACUCCGCCCCACAGCCCAGCCAAUCAGAGCUGCAAGGUGAGUGACGUCAUUCCCCUGAAAGUACUCGCUAAUUCCGGUACUCCUUUUCUCCGCCCUUCACCUCUAUUUGUUAGAAGUGACCAGCAGCCAUUUUAGAUUUGGGCGGAAAUGAAAUUAAAGUGCUGUUAAAAUCCUAAAAAUUCAACUUAAGUCAAACUUGAGCAUUCGACCCAAACGUCUGGACAGGGGACAUCUUCGUGGAUUAACUAGACCGCUGACCGCUGGGGCAGUGAGUGCAACUCGGUGUCGUCACGGCGCCCACACUCAAGAUGGCACCGGCCUAAGACUCUUCUGUGCGGCCUUCUACCUCGGUUCCCGGUUCGUUGGCCUCACUGGUGGCGUCGGAGGGAGAAAGGCGGGCAUUCUAUCCCGUUUCCGCACCCGUCUCUAUGGUGUGGGAGAAACCUGGCCCCCAGAAGGUUGUGGGUGUAGUGGCCACAGAUUUACCGGCAGGCAGGGUGGUUGGUGCCAGCAGGAGGGCCAAGAGGGGACCAGAGCCAAGACCCUCGGCCUCCUCCCCCGCUGCCCUCCCGCAGGUAACAGGGAGCCCUGCACUGCGCCCCGAGUCCUGGCAGGACUGCGCCGUGGGGGAGGGGGCCGGGCGGGGAGGAGGCAGCGGGCGCGCGCCCUGGUCGCGGGUCUGCGUUCUGCGCACCCCGCGGGAGCGAGCGCGGCGCGGCGCCGGCAGCCGGUUGAGCUGUGCUCUCCGCUUCGGAGCAACCUGUCCUUGUUGAUUGCGGGGCGCCUUGUAAUCUGCACUUUGCGGGCGACGCCCGCCUGGUGAGGCGCCCGCGGCCAGAGCUCUCCAAGGCAGCCGCGAAGUCGGUCCUCGCCGGGAGGUGUGGAAGAUCUGCUUGGCUUUGAGGAAGAGUGGCAGUACUGCCUCAGUACAUAAGGGAUGGGAUCAGAGAACAGUGCUUUAAAGAGUUACACAUUGAAGGAACCACCAUUUACCUUACCCUCUGGACUUGCUGUUUAUCCUGCUGUACUGCAAGAUGGCAAAUUUGCUUCAGUGUUUGUGUAUAAGAGAGAAAAUGAAGACAAGGUUAAUAAAGCUGCCAAGCAUUUGAAGACACUUCGCCACCCUUGCUUGCUAAGAUUUUUAUCUUGUACUGUGGAAGCAGAUGGCAUUCAUCUUGUCACUGAGCGAGUACAGCCCCUGGAAGUGGCCUUGGACACAUUGUCUUCUGCUGAGGUCUGUGCUGGGAUCUAUGAUAUAUUACUGGCUCUUACCUUCCUUCAUGACAGAGGGCACCUAACACACAAUAAUGUCUGUUUAUCAUCUGUGUUUGUGAGUGAAGAUGGGCACUGGAAGUUAGGAGGAAUGGAAACUGUUUGUAAAGUUUCUCAGGCCACGCCAGAGUUUCUGAGGAGUAUUCAGUCAGUAAGAGACCCAGCAUCUAUCCCUCCUGAAGAGAUGUCUCCAGAAUUCACAACUCUCCCAGAGUGUGAUGGACAUGCCCGGGAUGCCUUUUCAUUUGGAAUAUUGGUGGAAAGUUUGCUCACAAUCUUAAAUGAACAGGUUUCAGCGGAUGUUCUCUCCAGCUUUCAACAGACCUUGCACUCAACUUUGCUGAAUCCCAUUCCAAAAUGUCGGCCAGCGCUCUGCACCUUACUAUCUCAUGACUUCUUCAGAAAUGAUUUUCUGGAAGUUGUGAAUUUCUUGAAAAGUUUAACAUUGAAGAGUGAAGAGGAAAAAACGGAAUUCUUUAAAUUUCUGCUGGACAGAGUCAGCUGCUUGUCAGAGGAAUUGAUAGCUUCAAGGUUGGUGCCUCUUCUGCUUAAUCAGUUGGUGUUUGCAGAGCCAGUGGCUGUUAAGAGUUUUCUUCCUCAUCUGCUUGGCCCCAAAAAAGAUCACGCGCAGGGAGAAACUCCUUGCUUGCUCUCACCAGCCCUGUUCCAGUCACGGGUAAUCCCUGUGCUUCUCCAGUUGUUCGAAGUUCAUGAAGAGCAUGUGCGGAUGGUGCUGCUGUCUCACAUCGAGGCCUAUGUGGAGCACUUCACUCAGGAGCAGCUGAAGAAAGUCAUCUUGCCACAGGUUUUGCUGGGUCUACGUGAUACUAGCGAUUCCAUUGUGGCAAUUACUCUUCAUAGCCUAGCAGUGCUGGUCUCUCUACUUGGACCAGAGGUAGUUGUGGGAGGAGAACGAACCAAGAUCUUCAAACGCACUGCCCCGAGUUUUACUAAAAAUAUUGACCUUUCUCUAGAAGGUUCUGCAUCUGCAGAUUCAGCCAACUGUGGAUCAAAAAUACUCAGAAAAGAAACACAAACUAAAGAUUCUCCUGUGCGUGUCGUCUGCAGCCAGCACAGUCAAAUUUCGCCAAUCUUGGAGAACCCCUUCUCUAGCAUAUUCCCUAAAUGUUUCUUUUCUGGCAACAUGCCCAUCAACAAGAAGCACAUACAGCAAGAUUACUACAAUACUCUUUUACAGACAGGCAAUCCGUUUUCUCAGCCUAUUAAAUUUCCCAUAAAUGGACUCUCAGAUGUAAAAAAUUCUUCAGAGGACAGUGAAAAUUUCCCAUCAAGUUCUAAAAAGUCAGAGGAGUGGCCUGACUGGAGCGAGCCUGAGGAGCCUGAAAAUCAAACUGUCAACAUACAGAUUUGGCCUAGAGAACCAUGUGAUGCUGUCAAGUCCCAGUGCACUACCUUGGAUAUGGAGGAGUUGUCUUGGGAUGACUGUGAGCCUGGCAGUUUAGAUACUAAAGUAAACCCAGGAGCUGGAAUCACUGCUACAAAACCUGUUACCUCAGGGAAGCAGAAGCCCAUUCCUGCUUUGCUUCCACUCACUGAAGAGUCUACGACUUGGCAAUCAAGGCUGUCCCAAAAGACUAGUCUUGUACAAAGCAGGGAUGACCCAGACCAAAUCAAGCCACCAAAAGUGUCAUCAUCACAAGAAAGGCCCCUUAAGAUUUCAUCAGAACUUGGUUUAGGAGAGGAAUUUACCAUUCAAGUGAAAAAGAAGCCAGUAAAAGAUCCUGAGAUGGACUGGUUUGCUGAUAUGAUCCCCGAAAUUAAGCCUUCUGCUGCUUUUCUUAUAUUACCUGAAUUGAGGACAGAAAUGGUCUCUAACAAGGAUGAUGUGUCCCCAGUGAUGCAGUUUUCCUCAAAAUUUGCAGCAGCAGAAAUUGCUGAGGGAGAGGCUGAAGGCUGGGAAGAAGGGGAGCUGAACUGGGAAGAUAACAACUGGUGACAAUGGAUCACCUCCAUUUCCAUUAAAAGCCAGGCUGGAGCAGGACCCUUUUGUAGUAAUGACUCGGUUGCUUCCAAGGCCCCUGCUAUUGUGUGUAGCGCUGACCUGUACUCUUCUUCCCAGGGGAACUCGUGACGAGCUUUUUUUGCAUAUGGCUGGAAAUACCACUUCUAUGAAGAAAUGUGAUUCUUAAAAGCAGCUACCAGAAAACAGAAUUUUACAUGUCUAGAUCUAUUUAAUUUGAAAUUCAACACAAGGCUGGAAACCAAACUGGUUUGUUUCAUCAAUAAUAGCAUGGGAGGAAUAUUUGGAUCUUGGCACAUUUGGAUCAGAAGCAUGCUUUUGGCCACCUAGAAGGGGAUAUCCCCACCCUUCCCCCAGGCCCCACUGACAGGUAAGACCCCCAUGAGUGACGACGGGUUGAUCACAGAAUGGGCUGAUUGGCUUUGGGUUGCUUUGCAAUGAAAUACAUGGUAAAAUCAUUGCACUGCCUUGUUCUAUAGUGCUUCUCUUUUGGGAAUCCAGGAUCCAGUAUACAAACGGGACACUUUAUUUUUGGGGAUUAUUUUGCCUUCCAGCUGUGCCUGCUUAUUGGGCUAUAGAAACUGCAUGCUUUCCUGGCCCUGUCCCUCCAAGGGCUCUACCCUAAAGCCAGUAUAGAAACUGGCAAAUGAGCCAGGCACAGUGACUCAUGUCUGUAAUCCUGGUACUUUGGGAGCCUGAGGCAGGCAGAUCACUUGAGGUCAGGAGUUCAAGACCAGCCUGGCCAACAUGGCAAAACCCUAUCUCUACUAAAAAUACAAAAAUUAGCCAGGCGUGGUGGCUCAUGCCUGUGAUCCCAGCUACUUGGGAGGCUGAGGCAGGAGAAUCACUUGAACCCAGGAAGUGGAGGGUGCAGUGAGCUAAGAUCAUGCCAUUGUACUCCAGUAUGGGCAACAGUGCAAGACUCUGUCUUAAAACAAAACAAAAAACGGCAAAUGAAAAAUCUUACAACUACUGGAUCUCUUCUUCUGUGUAUUUAUACAUGUUGUGUAAUAUAAAAAAGCUUUGAUAGCUGGCUUAAAAAUAAUGAACACUUAAAUAUUUUGUCAGAAAAGUAAAAAGCCUUUUAGUUCACAGGACUUAAGUAAUCACUGGGAAAUACAGUUUUAAAGAUUACUGGUAAAAUAAAAAUAUCUUCAAAAUGAUUGCUAAAUGCUUUAAGGUCAGAAACUGCUUCUCUGAUUUUUAAAAACUGUUUAACUUACUUUGGAGCAGAUUCUAGGUAAGGCCUAGGGACAUGUGGUGUUAGCCAUUCCCCCUAGCUAUGCGAUAAAGAGUCAGACCUGUCUGCACUUCUGUUUGGUGUCCUAGACUCUACACCUAGGAUGUAAUUAAAAUUCCUUACUUACCAAGGUUUUCACCCAAAAGUAAAAGUUGUUAAGAGUUAAUAUUGUACCAAGUAACUGAAGACUUCUGAAGAAAAUUUUAUAUCAAAGGUGUAUAAGGAAAGUGAAAUGUGUUUUUGGUAAAAGAUUAUAAGAAAGAAUGAGUAUAUGGAUUUUUGACCUAAAUUGAAAGGUUAAUGGAUUGUUUUCAGUUAAAUAGGAUAAUGCAUUUGAGCAAGUUGUACAAUAACUGGGGAAAAUUAAUCUUGUAAAAAAAAAUUCUGUGUGCGAACAUAUUGGCUAAAGUUAAAGGGGCAUUAUUCAGUUUUUCCAUAAAUUGAACACUAGAAAAAAUUCACAACAGGGUUUCCUGAGAGCAAUAAUCUACUCUUUCACAAAAAUUAUAAAGAGUUGUAAAUGGUUUAUGAGAAUCUUACUUUAUGGUUAUACUGAUUAAGAUUAGAUAGAUUUAGAAUUGUCUAUACAGUUUCAUUAAGCAUUGGGAUUAACAUUAAUAGGACACUAGUGCAAUGGUGAAACUUGGGUUUUUCAAUAUAAAAAUCAUACAGGAAGCAUUGUCAAAUAUAAAAUGAUGUUUGGCUUUCUUUGGGCUAUAUUUGUAUAAAUAUGUUAUUGUAAUGUGUUCCAAAAUUAUGGGAAACAACUAUAAUUCUAAUAUGACUUAGAGUACAUUAUGAUUGUUAUAUAAAAUUGUUAUAUGCCACAGAAGUAACCAAAAUCCCCAGUCAAUUAUGGCUUUAACACAGGCUACCCUAAGGCAUUUUGUCAUCCUCAGACAAAUAGUCUUGUUUUAAUCCUCUUUAAAAGGUGAUUUUUUUUUAACAGUUAUAAGACUUUGACAGGUGCUCUUGAAGGCAGGUUUCUGAAACUUUGGUUACUGUGACAUUAAAAUAGAGGAAAGAAAUUUUCAGGGCUCUCAUGAAGAGCUGGAAUGUUAGUGGAUGUCAAAUACGAUAGGUAUUAACUACAUGGACUGAACCAAUAGAAGACUGAAGUAAUCUUUUUGACUUUUUGCUUGAAAUGUUGCUGAUCCUUUUACUUUUCAGAGACAAGAAAACUUCUUUUGAGCUGUUUGCAGCUUUUAACAUUUGUGUAAAGUAUAUCCCCAUGAAUCAAAUUUGAAGCGUAUUUCUGAUUUCUCCAGAAUUUGGAACCUGUUUGUGAAUAUUUUUAACUUAUGGCAAUAUAGUUAUUUGAAUAAGUGCCAUGCAAAUGGACACAACUGGAGAAACUGGUUAUUUUACGAAGGCUUUGGCUGGAAUAGUGUGCUUUCCUUUAAGGAAUCAAACUUGACUUAUAAAGCCACCAAAAGCCCCUUGGGAACACUUGCUUCAUACCUUGUUUAUGCAGGUCCUGUACAGGGUUCCUGGCCUGUGGUAAGUAAAUAAUGUCACUUUCUGACAGGUCCAGAAGCUCCAAGUUAUCUUGUGACCUCAAGAGGACAGUAAUGUAUCCAACUCAUAUUUUAAAAAGUCUUUAUCAGCGUUUCCUUACGAAACAGAGUUCCAUCAAAGCCAAUUUUAAAAAUCCGAAGUAGAAAAUAAUUAUUCUUGCUGCACUUUAAACAGAUAAUCAUGCCAAGAAUAAAAAAGCAAAUCAGUCUUACAUCAGUCUUCAGUAAAAAUGGGAGACUGGAGAGAAAUAAAAUAUACUUCAGAAACUAUGGUAUACCUGUUAUUAGGUGUUUUUGAGUGUUUUUCUCAUCAGUUGUUUUUGAGUUUUUUCUGCAAUUUAAACUAACCCUGCUUAUUCCUGUCAACCAACCAGUGAUCUCUGGCUGCUGCUCAGAAGAAACAAGAGGGAUAGGUAAUGUGAAAAUCUGGAUCAGUAUUCUAAUUCUGGGCCCAUAUUGGAAUCAGCUUGGUUUCCAGCAGUUCAUGGAAAGCCUUCUUAUUUAGUUCACUUGGGAUAAUUUUAGUUAUUUUGUUUUACUGGUAUGGAAUAUACUGCUGUUGUACUCGCUGUAGGAAUACAAGAUAAGCUUACUGAGUGUAUUAAACUGACCUUAUUAAUCUUCCAGAUAUCUUUUUUUUAGAACUGAGAGUUAUGAAUGGCCCUCAUCAUACUGACACUUUCUGACUAAUUUCUCUACCCCAAAUAAAAGAUCCUAAUAGACAGGAAUAUCAUCACCCCUAUUCAGCCUGAAAAAGUUACAAAAGAUGUCUCUUUGUCCCUCUACAACCCUUAGGAUUAAGGAUUCCCUUAUAAAAAGGAGAGGGAAAAUAUGUCAGAGGUGUUUUAACCAGAAGACUCCAUCUUGAAAAGGGGCUGGGUAGAAUGAGGCCUAGACCUACUGGGCUGCAUUCCCAGGAGGUUAGGCAUUCUAAGUCACAGGAUGAGAUGGGAGGUCAGCACAAGACACAGGUCACAAAGACCUUGCUGAUAAAACAGCAUGCAGUAGAGAAGCUGGCCAAAACGCACCAAAACCAAGAUGGUUGCAAAAGUCACUUCUGGUUGUCCUCACUGCUCAUUAUCCACACUAAUGAUAAUUCAUUAGCAUGAUAAAAGACACUCCCACCAGCUCCAUGACAGUUUACAAAUACCGGCAACAUCAGGAAGUUACCCUUUAUGGUCUACAAAGGGGAGGAACCCUUAGUUCUGGGAAUUGCCCAACCCUUUCCCAAAAUGGAAAUAAUCUACCCCUUGUUUAGCAUAUAAUCAAGAAAUGGCCAAAAAAUUGGCCAAUAGGAGCCUUUGGGGUUGCUUGGCCAAUGGAGUAGCCAUUCUUUAUUCCUUUACUUUCUUAAUAAACUUGCUUUCACUUUCCAAAAAAAAAAGAAAAAAACUUUUAUAUAGCGAAAACUGAAAUGAAGCAAGUGUGCAUUAUGUGGCGAACAGCAAAAUACUUGACCUCUGAACAACAUGGGGGCUGGGGUGCCAACCCCCAUGUGGUCUAAAAUCCAAGUAUAACAUUUGAGUCUCCAAAAACUUAACUACUAAUAGCCUACUGCUGACUGAAGCCUUACCAAUAAAAACAGCUGAUUAGCAUAUUUUGUAUGUCAUAUGUAUUAACACUGUCUAUUUCCAAGAUGAAUCAUCUGUCUGAAAUGACAGGUAAUUGCAGUUGCAGAUCUCAAUUUACAAUAUGUAUCAAGGAAUUCUUGGAAGCACUUCCAGCAUCACUAGUGGCACUUUUUAUGGGUUUACAGUACUGCAUUAAAGAUGAUGAAAAAAUAUGGAGGCACCUCAAGAGAUCACUUUUUACUGAGAAAUACAAUUUACUUUCUGGAGGGACAAAUUGCUCAAGCAGGGAUGGUUAGUAUCACAAGGCCUUGCAACACCUGAGUUCACAGUAAUAGCAACAGGAAACGGCUAUGAAAUUAUUGUAUUAUACUGUAUAUUUUGAAAAUAAUGCAAAAACUGCAAUUACUUUUGCACCAACCUAAUAAUACUACAGCAUGUACCAUAGUUAAUUUUAUGCAGUUAUGAUUUAACACUGCAUCUUUACAUUUGUUUACAUUUCUCUCAACUGCAUGGUACCAUGUAUAGUCUCUGUGUGUUAAGUUUUGAUAAAUUUUAACUUUUGAUAAUAGAUUUGUGUUAUUUUAUGGUAGUAAAUGAUAAAUGGAAAAACAUCUGCGUAAGCUGACCUGUGUAGUUCAGACCUGUACUGUUCAAGGGUCAACUGUAAAUUUAUAAUAUAAUAAACUGUAAUACCAUAUAGCUAUUAAAAAGAAUCAGACACACAUACCUUCACGGACACAGAAAGCCUUAAGAAUAAACUGUUAAGUUAAAAAAUCAAGUUGUAAACAAUUUGUAAAAUGUAAAAAUUAAUAACACAAAUUGGGUCAUUCUUGUCAUACUCAACUAAAACAGAGUCAACAGGCCUGGGGGAAAAGCACUCAGGGUACAAAACAUUUCUCCCAAGAUAUAAUUCUCUGUAAGCCUGGCUGCUGAAACUGGCUGCUGGUUAUCUCAGGGCUACUGAAAGGACCUGGUGCAACUCUUAAGACCAGUGUUACCCAUUGCCAUCACUCAACAAUCAGAGCUUGACAGCUCACCAAGUCUAGUACCAAUGGAAUUUCUUGAAGAGCCAUGUGUAAUAUUUCUUCUUUUUAUAAGACCUCUAACCCUCUGUUUGUUCUCUGGACAUACCGAACAAUUGGUCUGCAUCAAUGCUCCAAAUUGCAAUUACUUCUUCCCAAAUAAAACAUUUGGUUUCCAGA